CCUCGCGAGUGAGUAUCAGAGCUGUUCAGAAACUUCCUCGUCUUCAGAAUCUUGUAAUGCAGCAUGUAGACCAUUCCGCAGGGGACCUCAUUCACCUCUUGCAGGGUCUCCUUAGGUACGACCCAUCGGAUAGGCUUUCAGCUCGGGAAACCCU